rnacentral:lncRNA from 1 species
UGGAGGAUCACAAGUUUGAGGGCAGGCCUGGGCAAUUGAGCAACACUGUCUCAAAGCGUGAGCAAUGUAGGUUAGUGGUAAAGUGGUUGGUGGCACCUCAGCCUAACUAGCUGCUUUAAAACAUUUUGGUGAUUACAACUGGACUAGAUGAGAUCUUUUGGUUACAACAGGGCAUGGCCUGUCAUUCUUUUUAGUUUGAGAAUACAAAAAGCACUCUUGGUCAUUUAUGAAAACUUACCUUUUAGCUAUGAACUUGGAAGUUUAAAAGAAAAUUAACAGCUGAUAAGCUUGUAGCAGAUUCCUCCCCUAGAAAAGUAAACAAUCUUUAGAACUGGCUCUUUUCUGAGACCAAGGCCCAUCUUGAAGCUACAACCCCCCUCCCUCCCAUUAAUGGCCCACCCUCCUCCCACCAUUUUGGGGAAAGGGUUCUAAUGCAUUACUUUGAGCCACUGUUUUAAUGAAAUGGGUCAAAGGAUAAAACUAAUGGGCAAUAUUAUCUUCAGAAUAGAAUUAAUGUGCUUAUUAUCUUCAGAAUAGAAUUAAUGUGCUUAUUUACUUCAUUUGGGAGCCAACAAUAAUAGUAGGGCAUCAAUUUAAACAUUCUCCAGAAAAACCAAGUUCAGCUUAACUGGACUAAUUUUGGCUCAAUAUUAUUAAGGAAAAUGCAAUAGAAAACUGGAUUUUUAUGUUAACUAAAUGGACAUGAGUAAAAUCUGUUCUUACCUACCAGCAUAGCAAUAAAACCUUUCCUCCUGGUUCUUACUGCUAGUCCUAAGAGUCAGGUGUGCCUUACUCUUGUCUGCCUCCUUCCUUGCGAUGGUCACUGAAACUUCACUCUCCUAGCUUUCAUGGAGUGCUGUGGCCUGCCCCUGGCUUAUCUGUACUCCACAUACCAUAAGUGUCUACUCUCAGCUGCAGAGUGUCUGAGCUCGGAGCCAUUCGCGCUAUACUUGCUAGCAGUUCCUAGUAGCUGAACAUCUCCUGGAUCUUUAAAGGCAUUGUCACGAAUCCUGAGGUAUCUGCAAACUCCCUCAAUAGUUAAGGUUCCACCUGCUAUUGCAAACUCAGCCAGUAUCAAGGAUCUAACGUCCAUGCUUUCCCACCCCCCACCACCUCCCCCC